GAUGAACGCUGGCGGCGUGCCUAAUACAUGCAAGUCGAGCGAACAGACGAGGAGCUUGCUCCUCUGACGUUAGCGGCGCACGGGUGAGUAACACGUGGAUAACCUCCCUAUCUGACUGGGAUAACUUCGAGACACCGGAGCUAAUACCGGAUAACAUGUUGAACCGCAUGGUGCAAUAGUGAAUGACGGUCUUGCUGGCACGUCUAGAUGGUUCCGGGCCGCAUUGGCUAGUUGGUAAGGUAACGGCUUACCACGGCAACGAUGCGUAGCCGACCUGAGAGAGGGAUAGGCGACACUGGAAGGGGACCACGGUCCAGACUCCUACGGGAGGCCGCAGUAGGGUAUCUUCCGCAGUAGGCGAAAGCAUGACGGAGCAACGGGGCGUGAGUGAAGAAGGUCUUGGGAUCGUGAAACUGUGUUAUUAGGGAAGAACAAAUGUGUAAGUAACUGUGCACGUCUUGACGGUACCUAGUCAAAAAGCCACGGCUAACUACGUG
rnacentral:rRNA from 1 species